UGAAAUGCAGGUGCAGCUGGACAUUCUCCUGAGCUAAAAGCAUAUUCAUUUAGUCCCGUCAAACGGAUUAUUACUUUUGCUGCAGCUAACAUAAAGGGAGUUUGACCGUAUUGGCUGACUGAUGCAGGAUUUCACAAGGGUCGGCAACGAUUCUUGUUAAACUCGAUCUCAAAUCAAGUAAGACUACCCGCUGAACUUAA
rnacentral:misc_RNA from 1 species